rnacentral:rRNA from 1 species
UCCUACGGGUGGCAGCAGUGGGGAAUCUUAGACAAUGGGCGCAAGCCUGAUCUAGCCAUGCCGCGUGAGCGAUGAAGGCCUUAGGGUUGUAAAGCUCUUUCGUGGGGGAAGAUAAUGACGGUACCCCAAGAAGAAGCCCCGGCUAACUCCGUGCCAGCAGCCGCGGUAAUACGGAGGGGGCUAGCGUUGUUCGGAAUUACUGGGCGUAAAGCGCACGUAGGCGGAUCAGAAAGUCAGAGGUGAAAUCCCAGGGCUCAACCUUGGAACUGCCUUUGAAACUCCUGGUCUUGAGGUCGAGAGAGGUGAGUGGAAUUCCGAGUGUAGAGGUGAAAUUCGUAGAUAUUCGGAGGAACACCAGUGGCGAAGGCGGCUCACUGGCUCGAUACUGACGCUGAGGUGCGAAAGCGUGGGGAGCAAACAGGAUUAGAUACCCCGGUAGUCCUU